AUUCGGAUGAACCGCCUGCUCUCCCUCUGAGCAGUUUCAAAAAAAAAAAGCCCUCUCCCUAUGCAAUUCAAGAGCCCCGCCUCUCCGUCUCUUCUCGGCUUCGUACGACAACGAGAAGGAGGCCUGCUCGCUCUCUCUCUGAUUUCCGAAACCCCUCUCUUCUGUUCGCCCCUCUAGCACGUCCCCUAUUCAUUCACACAUACAAAACCGUACUCCUCCUCCCGUGACCUCACACGUACAGCCCGCCUCUCUUAAUUCACAAGAAGUCAAGGCAAGAGCACUCGCAUCUCUGGCUCUCUGUCUGAAUGAACCCCAACCCCAUUUCACACAGCCUCUUGCUCUCUCGCACACUCAGUCCUCUCUCAGUUUAGAAGAAGCACAGAUGAGAACCCUCUCUCUCCGUCGCUCUCGUGAAACCGAGUUCAAGGAAAACCGAUCGAAACCUUAAGGAAUCAUUCCGUUCUGCCUUUACUGUGCUCAGCAUCUUCGACAUCGAUCACUAGCUCUAGCCGAAGGGAGAGUUCGCCGAGUCUAUUCGUCACCUGCCCUAGUUCAUUCUGCCCCAAGGAGCCCGAUUUGAUUUCCCUUGUUCUAAUCGUCCACAAUCUUCAUAAUUCUCCGUAUAUUUUCUACUUCCUCGUCUUCUUUCUUUUCAAUUUAGUAAAUUUUGUUGAUAGAAAUGAGUUAGGAGAGGUUAUUGCUAUCAUUUUUGGAAGGAAAAGAAAGUAUGCAGAGUUGAAAAUAGAGAAGUGUUAAUUUGUCUUGCUUUCUCUUAUUGCAAAGAGAAUGAUUUUCUUAUGCUUGUUUAACCGGAUUUUGCUGGGCACUUCAA